rnacentral:rRNA from 1 species
AACGCGAAGAACCUUACCAGGGCUUGACAUGGGGCCGUCGCGUCCAGAGAUGGGCGUUCCCGCAAGGGCGGCCUGCACAGGUGCUGCAUGGCUGUCGUCAGCUCGUGUCGUGAGAUGUUGGGUUAAGUCCCGCAACGAGCGCAACCCUCGCCUUUAGUUGCCAUCAGGUUUGGCUGGGCACUCUAAAGGAACUGCCGGUGACAAGCCGGAGGAAGGUGGGGAUGACGUCAAGUCCUCAUGGCCCUUAUGUCCAGGGCUACACACGUGCUACAAUGGACGGUACAAAGGGCUGCCAACCCGCGAGGGGGAGCCAAUCCCAAAAAACCGUUCUCAGUUCGGAUUGCAGGCUGCAACUCGCCUGCAUGAAGCUGGAAUCGCUAGUAAUGGCGGAUCAGAACGCCGCCGUGAAUACGUUCCCGGGCCUUGUACACACCGCGCAUA